rnacentral:rRNA from 1 species
UGGGGAAUAUUGCGCAAUGGGCGAAAGCCUGACGCAGCGACGCCGCGUGGGGGAUGACGGCCUUCGGGUUGUAAACCUCUUUCAGCAGGGACGAAGCGCAAGUGACGGUACCUGCAGAAGAAGCACCGGCCAACUACGUGCCAGCAGCCGCGGUAAUACGUAGGGUGCAAGCGUUGUCCGGAAUUAUUGGGCGUAAAGAGCUCGUAGGCGGUUCGUCACGUCGGCUGUGAAAACCUGAGGCUCAACCUCAGGCCUGCAGUCGAUACGGGCGGACUUGAGUACUGCAGGGGAGACUGGAAUUCCUGGUGUAGCGGUGAAAUGCGCAGAUAUCAGGAGGAACACCGGUGGCGAAGGCGGGUCUCUGGGCAGUAACUGACGCUGAGGAGCGAAAGCGUGGGGAGCGAACAGGAUUAGAUACCCUGGUAGUCCACGCCGUAAACGUUGGGCGCUAGGUGUGGGGGCCAUUCCACGGUCUCCGUGCCGCAGCUAACGCAUUAAGCGCCCCGCCUGGGGAGUACGGCCGCAAGGCUAAAACUC